rnacentral:rRNA from 1 species
AUUGCAGAACACAUUGAACAUCGACAUCUUGAACGCACAUGGCGGCCUCGGGUUGAUCCCGGGGCCACGCCCGUCUGAGGGUCGGUU